AUUGAACGCUGGCGGCAGGCCUAACACAUGCAAGUCGAACGAGUGGCGGACGGGUGAGUAAUGUCUGGGAAACUGCCCGAUGGAGGGGGAUAACUACUGGAAACGGAAGCUAAUACCGCAUACUAUCGGAUGUGCCCAGAUGGGAUUGGCUAGUAGGUGGGGUAAGGGCUCACCUAGGCGACGAUCCCUAGCUGGUCUGAGAGGAUGACCAGCCACACUGGCAAUUAGACACGGUCCAGACGCCGACGGGAGGCAGCAGUGGGGAAUAUUGCACAAUGGGCGCAAGCCUGAUGCAGCCAUGCCGCGUGUAUGAAGAGGGCCUGCGGGUUGUAAAGUACUUUCAGCGGGGAGGCGUUACUCGCAGAAGAAGCAUCGGCUAACUACGUGCCAGCAGCCGCGGUAAUAC
rnacentral:rRNA from 1 species